rnacentral:misc_RNA from 1 species
GCAUGCGCUCUUCAGAAUUUGUCUGCUGUGGGCAUUUACAGGUGAAGCCUACAAUUGUAUGCUAUCAUAGUGAAGUGAUAAAGAAAAUCAUUAUGGAUUAAGAAGCGCCAUGAGCAACAUAGAGGGGCCGACAACCAGUCAGCCACCCCCAGACAAUAGUCAAGACGAUGAUGCAUCAAAAGUGGAAUUACCAGACCAGUUGCAGAAGAUUUUGCCUGCUACAGAAUUUCCACACAGUCUCACUCGCUGGAAUACCAAUGAGGAAAUAGCUGCUAUUCUCAUCGCAUUUGAUCGCCACAAAGAAUGGCUGCUUUUAGAGCCCAGGAUAAGACCACCAAGUGGAUCUCUCUUGAUGUACAACCGCAAGAAAGUGAUGUUCCGGCGAGAUGGCUAUUGUUGGAAAAAGAGACGGGAUGGAAAGACCAAUCGAGAAGACCAUAUGAAAUUGAAGGUGAAAGGUGUGGAGUGCAUCUAUGGAUCAUAUGUCCAUUCUGCCAUUCUCCCAACCUUUCAUCGUAGAUGCUAUUGGCUUCUCCAAAAUCCCCAUGUGGUGCUUGUUCAUUACCUGAAUGUGCCAAACCAUCCAAACAGCCCCAAACCAAGCCUAUUGCCUGUUUUGUCUGGGGAUAUGCGCAAGAAGGAAUGGACCAAAGAAGAACUUGUCGACCAACUCAGACCAAUGUUGGCAUCUGGUCGACUAGGAGAACUUCAUCCUGAUCAAGACCACAAGGUGGAGGAAAUGCUGGAGGCCAUUUUUCAGCUGCUGGUUGGUGCUCAGGAAGAUGAUACAGCAAAACCUGUUGCCAUGGACACCACUCAUCAUCAGCCACUUCCCUGUGGUGGCAACACCAUGGCUACUGCAGCAUCAACAUUGGUUUCACACUGUAGCGUUGGUGGCAUCAGCAGAACCCUAUCAACACCUUUAGCUCAGCCACAGGUGCAGUGUACCCCCCACAAUUGCUCUAAGCAAGAAUUGGAGUUGAUCUGUCUGCCCCAGCCAGGUGGGCAACAUUUCCAAGGCUGUGUGUCCACAACGCCUCAUCUUCAGGUCACACCCAGCACUCUUGUUCACCACCACCACAGCUUGCAACAGCAGCAGCCACUGCAACAACCUGCAGCAGCAUCAACAACCACAUCUUCCACUCAGUCACAGCACGACCUUCAUUUUCCUGUAGUAACACAUGACUACCAGCAGUUACAGAGUGCAGACAUGACCACUACAGCAUCGAGCAGCAGUCUGACCCUUGCCACCUUUUCACCAGCUUACUUGAUGACUGCAUCGCCAUCUUUACAUCCUCCUGGAUCCGUGUCUACAGAAUCUCUGAGCACAACGAUCACAAACAGCCCUCAGGUACAAGGACAGACUGUAAUCCCUGCCACCGUUAGUCUUUUGGCCAGCAUCACAAGCCCAGAACAGGCCCAUGUGGUAAUAGCAGAGCCUGCCACUGCUAGCUCUCUUACCACAACUUCUGACUCUUUGCCCCACAAAUUGUUUUCUGUGACAGCCCCUUCAGGGCUGUUCAAGUCUGAAGUUUCAAGUGAUUUGCCCCAAGAGCAGCGACCACAUCAGCACCAGCAGGUUUUGACCAGAGCAUCCUCACUAAACAAUGUAGGUGGCAGUGUCCCGACACAGAAUCAGAGUGGCACCGGCAUGGUGCAGCUGUGUGCUGGCAGCCUAAUUGUCAAAGACAAUAGGGAUUCUGUACUUGGUGGCCUACCCAAUGUAAUCACUUUUGGUUCAGGAAAUCCAGGUGCCUCAGCACCUCAGACUGUUCCUUUGCCCUCCCAACCUGACCCCACCCCUGCUAAAGACAUUCCUUUGUUUGCGGCAAAUCCCUUGGCUCCAAGCAGUGAUACCAGCGGUUGUGAUGCUGGGCAAGUUGAUGAAGACUGUAGGGGUGCAAGUGGCAGUGGCAUUGACAUGGGACUUGCUGAUAGUAGCGACAACUGUGAUACCUUGGAUGGCAGCUUCUCUUCCCUCCCUUCCACUGAUCUCAACCUGGACCUUUUUCUUGAUCUUCAAGAUCUAGAUGAGUGUGCAGUUGACUUAGCUGCAACAACAUCUCUGUCUCCCCAACGCAGUGCUAAUGCUUCUCUCUCAUGCACCCAGUUGGACACAUCUCAUUUGUCUCUCACUUCCUCUGCUACCCUUGUGUGCAGCAGCAGUGGCAACACCAAAACUAAUGCAGACUCGGGGGGUAAUCCCUUGGUCACAAGCUGUGUACAGAUUCCUUCUGUGAGUGAAAAUGGUCACGUUCUCCCAGGCAGCUAUCUGCAGUCAGUGACACCUGCUCAACUGUCUCCAAAUCAUUUACAGGUUGAAACUCAGUCUAGUAGUGCCAGCUUGCUUCUUCCUUCCAGGUGGGAGGUUGCCACAACAGCUGAAGAGAGACAUACCCUUCUUGUACACAGUGGCAGUGCCCAGCAUCUUAUGACAAAAGAUAUUAAUAUUAAAAAUGCUGGUGAUGUGGCAGGCCUCUGUGGUGCUCAGCAGAAAAAUACUCGGAGCCUAUUUACUGUGGGCAACUUUCCAUCACAUCAUAUUCUUGGUGAAGAUUCUGCUGGUGACAACUUGUUGGAACAGACAGCUGUUAUUAGCGAUUUUUCACCAGACUGGUCCUUUACAGAGGGAAACACAAAGAUACUAGUGGCAGGUCCCUGGUGCGUCUCAUCAGCUACAUACACUUGCAUCUUUGGAAGCAAACAUGUGGCUGCCACUCUCAUUCAGCCAGGUGUUCUGCGCUGCUUCGCUCCAGCUCAUGAAGCUGGGCAAGUUACGUUGCAAGUGGCACAGAAUGGUUUCGUCAUCUCAAGUAGCGAGACUUUUGAGUUUCGCUCACCUGCUUCUCAGCAGCAACAAAUACAGCAACAACAACAAAAACAACAGCAGCAGAUAGGGCAGCAUCAACAGCACCACCAACAGAUUGAAGUACAUAUACAUGCAGACUGGUUUGACAUGAGCUGUCAACAUCUAAUGCAGCUUCUACUUGAUCGUCUCGGGGAGCUUAAGCGUCGCUUCAUUUCAGGAGAAAAACCCCCAUCUCUUUGCUCAGAUCAAGUGUUGAGUUGCGACAUACAGGAGUCUGACCUGGUGGCACAUGUUGAAGGAUUAAGCAAGCAGUUAUGGUGUCUGGACCAAAUGUAUCCCAAGGUUGGCCAUGGUGGGCUAACACUACUCCAUCUAGUGUCCGCUCUUGGCCUGGCUAAAUUAAUCAGUGUACUGAUCAGAUGGAGGAGUAACAACCCAAGUCCUGCUUUGGAGUAUGAAGUUGAUGCUCACAGUGUUGACAAUCAUGCCUGUACACCAUUGAUGUGGGCAUGUGCAAAAGGGCAAACAGAUGCAGCUUUGACAUUGUAUCAUUGGAAUUCAGGGCCGCUACGUGUAUGCAACAAGGAUGGUCACCUCCCACUUGCUGUGGCUCACCAGAGAGGUCACCACAACCUUGCCACCCAGUUGGAGCAACUGGAACAAGCACACUUCAAGGCCCCUGCUCCAGCACCAGCCAAGGUCAGAUGUCAGAGCAUAGAGGCACCAUCUUCCCCAUGUCACCAAGACCUUGAAAUGGUUCAUCAGCCAAUGUCACCAGAAAUAGUGAAAGUAGAACCUCCAGAAAUGGCAGGAAUUCAUAACCUGGAACUAGCAUCAACCAUGCAGAUGUCUCAGGCAACCACUCCACACCAUCCACCACAAGCGAUGCAGAAUCAUGGGAAGCUAGUUCGACGCCUGAGUGAACAAGUAAUCAGCCCAAGCACAUCGUCAGUUUCACCACAUGGUCUGAGUAAACGCUACUCUGUUGACAUUUUGACACAUGAGACUGAUUCUGCUAAUAUAAUGGACCAUCCAGCAUACCACACUCGAGACACAUCUUCCGAGCCACGCUUUCCCAUAAAGUCCAAGUCUGAGGAGCUGGUACCUGACUUGCAGAAAGCACCAUCAUUCAACUUUUUCUUGGAGAGUGACAACAUGCUAGGGGUGAAGAGAAAAGCUGGCAGGGCAGACCACACCUUCCUCUUGCCACAUGACCCAGGCCAAUUUCCAAUGGAUACUGAUGAUACCUCUGUUAGAAGUGAUAGCCCUUUCAUUGAUGUUGAACAUGUUUCUGAUGAUGAGCAAGACAAGCAAGAUGACUCCAAGCACCAGAUGGUGACUCUGGCCAAUCAGAUCAUUGCAGCAAUACCUGAACGUAUCAAACUUUCCCCUUCUAAAACAGAGGAGGAAGAAGAUGGAAGCAUCAAUAGAACUCGCUCUGAAUCUCACAGUUCCUCAGUUCCCUCACAGGGUUCUCCUCGUCCUUCUUCCUCAUCCUUUGGGGAUGACUCUGGUAUUUCAACCCCCAUGACUGAUAGCCUGGCUUUUGAUGAAUAUAGAUACACAGACUUUGGAACACCAGCAUCAUCUUUGAGUCCUGACUCAACAUGUCUGCCAAGUCCAUACAGUCCAUACAGCUUUGCUUUGGACUCACCCCCACCUACAACUGCAGAGUUUACUGAGUACUUCAAUGCCCCAGCUACCUACAUGGAGAAAGACUUCUCUCAGCUCACUUUAUCAGAUCAAGAACAGCGGAAGCUUUAUGAGGCAGCAAAGGUAAUUCAGAAUGCUUAUCGCCAUUACCGUGACAAGCAACAACAACAGCAGCAUCAGAAGGAAAUUGAGGCAGCUGUUCUGAUCCAAAGCUAUUACAGGCGAUAUAAGCAGUAUGCCUACUACAAGAAGAUGACACAAGCAGCAGUUUUAAUACAAAAUCAGUUUCGCAGCUACUCUGCUCAGAAACGCAAGAAGAAUCCGGGUGGCAGUAUGCAGGGUGUACGGAGAGAGUCAGAGCGUCUUAAGAAAGGACGCAAUCAGUCAGUCAUCAUUCAGCAGCGUUACAGGAGUCACUAUCAGCGCAAGUCUCUGGAUGGCAAGGAGGGAGCAACAGCCAUUGGAGCAACACCAGAUGCACCUGACAGGAAAAUGGCACAGAUCCUUGUCUAGGCUGAUCACAGGUACAGACACCGCUUUCCUCUCUCCUGCUUGCUGCCUGCUGUUUCUUUGCAAAAGUCAUGGUGAAAGCAUCAGUGCUCCCCACAACCGGACGAAAGCCAACAAUCAUGCGAAGCAAGCCCACCAGCCGAUGCUGAAUUGUCAGCGGGAGGCAG